ACGGGGGAGUAACGCGUAAUCAACCUGCCCCUCCGAGGGGGGUAACAACUGGAAACCGUUGCUAAUACCGCGUACGAUUCUCGAGCGGCAUCGCUUGUGAAUGAAAGGUGGCCUCUAUAUCUAAGCUAUCGCUGACUGAGGGGAUUGCGUCUGAUUAGCUAGGUGGAGGGGUAACGGCCCACCAAGGUAAUGAUCAGUAGCCGGUCUGAGAGGAUGAACGGCCACUUUGGGACUGAGACACGGCCCAUACUCCUACGGGAGGCAGCAGUGGGGAAUCUUCCGCAAUGGACGAAAGUCUGACGGAGCAACGACUCGAGAGUGAUGAAGGUCUUCGGAUUGCAAAGCUCUGUUAAUAGGGACGAAGGAGUUCUGUGUGAAUAAUGCAAAAAAGUGACUGUACCGAAAUACAAAGCUACCGCUAACUACGCGCCCGCAGCCACGGUUAUACGUAGGUGGCAAGCGUUGUUUGGAAGUAUUGGGCGUAAAGCGCGCGCAGGCGGCCUAUCCAGUCUGACUUACAAGUUCUGGGCUCAACCCCGAGUUGGGAUGGAAACUAUUUGGCUAGAGUAUCGGAAAGGAAAGCGUCAUUUCCGUAGCGUAGCAAUGAAAUGCAUAUAUAUUAGGAAGAACCUGGGUGAGCGAAGGGCUUUUUUCUGGGACGAAAACCGACACUG
rnacentral:rRNA from 1 species